UCUUCUAAUACAACAGACAUUCAGGCACUAAAGUUAAACAUAUCCAACAACCUGGCAAAAUUAUACCCUGUAAUAUUUGAGGCCUCGCGUCCCCUGACAUUUUCGCCAAAUGAUGGAUUUUAUGAGCAAACAGUGACUGUAACAUGUGGCCCUCCACCAGUGGAUCUCAAUUUUGGCACUGUCUCAGCAGCAGAGUGGAGACGUAAUAUGGUGCUCAUAUCUGAAGAUGGAGAACACAGAAUUAAUCCAAGUGGGGAUGGAAAAUCAACCUUAACUGUGUUAAGGUUUAUUAGCGCUGACGAUGGAGUUUAUGAAUGUCGGCUCAUGCGCACAGACGACAAAGCAUUUUUUCGUCAGAGAUCUGCAACAUCAUUCAGUCUGAAAACAAAACCCACAAUCACAGUCUCACCAAUCAGACAGUAUGUGAAAUGUCCUGGAGGAAGUGUGGCUCUGAAUUGCAGUGUGAGUGCUGGGUAUCAGGUCGAGU